UCGGUAUAAUGAAUUCCAUCUUCUUUGCUCAAACCCUACAGCAAGCAGAAGCGGAGCCAUAUUUAGCUCUAUGAAUCAAACUCUUGCUUUACCGAUAUAACACUCAGUUUCGGAGAAUGUACUUCAAUGUGAAUUCGUUAGUAUUACCAUUGAUUAUAUAGCCAAGCAUGGGAAAUAAAUUAAAUACAUACAACUAAUUCACAAUUUUUCGAAAACGCAAUAUAUUAAACAGCUUAAUUGGUUAUACAAGAGUACUAUAUGAAGAAACUUGUUACUUGAUUGAAUUGAGACAUCCUCUGCCAGCCACAGUCAAAACUGAAAUUAGAAGACAAUGAUCUAAAAGGAUUCUUUACCGGGUUAAAAUUUGUAACCACAAACUUAAAAUUUGCAGCAACAAGUAGAAAUGAUAAAUGGAUUCUGUCAUGUAACACUUUGAACACUAAAUUCAUCCGUACUUCCACCAACUAUAAGCAGUCUGGAAAAAAUGGUGAUACCAAACACGGCUAUGGUUUGAUGGUAUAGCAGAAGAACAACUACAAGAAUAUCUUGAUAAUUCUACCAAUUUUAUUCCAUGCGAAACUAGCAAGUAACGGAGGAUCAACCACGGGGUGGAAAAGAAGAAAGAUGUUUUGCAUAUUUGGGCAAAUUAAAGAACUAAACAAGUCUUAAAAACCAACUAAAGUUCCAAUUUGAAUUUGGAAGUGACAAAGCCACAGUGUUGUUGUCAAGAGACGAGUCUUAGAAGACUUUGACAAAAGGUCUGUGACUGUUCCAAAAGAAAUUGUAUGAGUCAACUUUUCCGAGGAAAUUUUUAACCCACAUUAAUUUCAAGUUACAGGAUGAUUAUCAACCACAUCAAAAGAAACAUAUAGGUACAUGACAUACUGGAAAAAUAAUAUAGAGCGUGUGAGACAGACAUAAAUUAAAAUAAGCAAGAGAACGUUAACAUAUAUUUGAUCAUUUAUGAAUCAAUUGCGCAAGGUUCAAGCUAAAUGGAAUAGUUCAUGAGGUUCACAGCAUACAAUGCCUUUGACACUUUCCAUAAACAUAAAGCUUAUGAACAGGCCAAAACUGAAACCAAUACAAUGCUUCCAAAUAAACGGAAGUGACCUGUAUUCCAGAAUAAGUUCCCUCGAGGUUUCUACUUUCUAGAAUCCCAAUCAAUCAAAUAGUGGGAUAAAUAAAAAUUUAUAACAUGAUAAAAAAACACUUAUUUCAUCAAGUAUGUAAAUAGCAGAACAGCGAAUGAAUAAUGAAAAUUUUUAUACCAUCAACAAGACAAUAACAAGAUCUCAGUACCAAAGUUCAACCAAAGAAAUAAAAUAACAUGAAAAUUUUUAUACCAUCAAUAAGACAACAACAGGAUUUCAAUAUCAAAGUUCAACCAAGAAAUAAAAAACAAGACCAAACACUGACUCAGAGAUCUUUACAAAAGGAUGAAAACUAAAACAUUAAAAAAAAAUCCAAAUAAAGUAAGAUUAUCAUUUUUUAAUUCUAUUUUCUCAUCUGCUUGACUUUGUGCCAGCCUUUCUUACAUGAAUCUCCCACAAUCUUGACACCUUUCUUGAACAAAACCUUGAGAUCCUUGGCUCUUGCCUUCACCUGCUGCUCAAAACCAGCCAUUUUUUUUUCCUUUCCAAUAAACGCAGAAAAUAAAGAGAACAAAAUUUUAAAAAAAAUGUAAAUAUAAAUAUAAAUACAACUGCCGGAGGAUGAGGGUUGCUGGGUUUGGGGUUUUUAAGGUUGAAACUGUUGAAAUCUGUAGAAUAUAGAACUCAUAGAAGCGGCUGUCUCUGGUUGUUUUCUAAUGAACGAAAGCCUCGUGGGAUCCAGCGCAUCAGGGGACACGUGGUGGACAUCGAAUGGGUAUGUGCGUUACACGUUUCAUUGAGAUGGAUUUCCCUUGAAAUUUUUAACCACCGUUGAUUGCGCGAACGCUAAGCACGAGAUGUCAUCAAAUGAGAUGAGAUGAUAAGUCAUAGAGAAAUAAGUGUUAACGUGGUGGGACCACGUGGACCACUGAGACAAAUUUUUCGUUUGGGUAACAAUUGUAACGAACAAAAUGAUUAAGAUGACAACGGCGCUUAAAUGAUUUAAACUUUAAAAUUUUACCAAUGAAGCAUGAACCGUGAUUUCAUUUCCAUUUUAUGCUUUUUUAAUUUGAAUUUGAAUUUCAUCAUGUUAACAAUUUAGAUAACAUAGACAAAUUAAAAUCUUGGAAAAAGCUAUUUAACCCAACUUGUACCCCGAAUGAAACUCACCGUUUAACUUAAAUUAAAAACGCACCAUUUGGAAACUUUUUUUCUCUCGUUUGGAAACUUACCUAAAUUGAAAACACCCCGACUGAAGCUCCAAAAUGAACCGUUUUCAUGAAGCAUUCCUCACGGGAGCCAUAGAGGAGAGGACAGAGUACAGACCACAGCCAUCACGCGAUUGAGGUCGUUGUUGCCAUCCCAGACAGCCGGCACUCACAAAGCUAACACAAACGUGGGCUGGAAUUGGGCAGCCAACAAUUCCUCAACCUUUAUUUUACUUGAAUCUUGAACUGGUUCGUUUUGAAUUGGAUCUUGAGUAUUUGUGUCUAUAUUAGCAUUUGUUUCUACUAUUGUUUAUAAAUUUAAUGAAUUUGAGAUAACUAGUGACCGAAAUUUAAACAUUCUGAAUUUGGUCCGAAAUUUAAUGAUCUUGAGUUGUUUCAUUUUGAUUUGUGAGCUAAACCGUGACCAUUUGUAUCUAUAUUAUUGUUUCUAAAUUUAAUGAAUUUGGGCAUUAAUUAAUAAUGUUCAAUUUAUAAUUUAAUUUUUUUCUAAACUUAGUGAAUUAGGGAUAAUUAAUUAAUAAUAUUUAGUCUAUAUUUUAAUUUGUUUCUAAACUUAAUGAAUUAGGGAUAAUUAAUUAGUAAUAUUCAAUCUAUAUUUUAAUUUGUUUCUAAACUUAAUGAAUUUGGGAAAAUUAAUUAGUAAUAUUAUGAACUAUUAUAAUUUGUAGCAAUAAUGGACGAAGUUGAUGAAGUGGAGGAAGUGGAGGUUGAUGAAGUGGAGGAAUUGCAAGAUUUAUAGGAGGCUGAUUUUGAAGGAAAUAAUGAAAAAUUGGUGGAAAAAGUUGUUGAGCCUAAGGUUGGGAUGUGUUUUAAUAUUCUGGAUGAAAUGUUUGAAUAUUACAAAGCUUAUGGCUAAGAAGAGGAAUUUCCAGUGAUGCGGAGAUCUUGUAAAAAGGGGGAUGACGGGAAUAUGAGAUAUGUGACAUUUACUUGCGAGUGAAACGACAAGUCAAAAAGCAAAUCCAAUCAUAUUUUGCGGCUUUAACCUAACCAGAAAAUUGGAUGCAAUGCUAAAAUUGGAGGACGUUUGGAUUUUGUUAGUGGAAAAUGGGUAAUUGGAAAUUUGUUCCUUGAACACAACCAUGCCGUAACUCCGAGUAAGAGUAGGUAUUAUCGAUGCAACCAUAGAGUAGGUAUUAUCGAUGCAACCAUAGCAUUAGUCCUUAUGUAAAAAAACAACUUGAAAUAAAUGAAGCGGGAAUUAAAAUGGCUCAAAGUUUCAAGUUUAUUGUUGUUGAGGUGGUGGCUACGAAAGUGUCCCAUUUUUAGAAAAAGAUGCUAGAAAUCAUGUUGAUAAAGCAAGGCGAUUAAGGCUUGGAGAAGGGGAUGCGACUGCGAUUCAGAAAUAUUUUAAGAAAAUGCAAGCAGAAAAUGAUUGAUUUUUCUUCAGUCUUGACUUAGAUGAAGAGGGUCGGUUAAAAAAUAUAUUUUGGGCAAAUCCAAGAAGCUGGGCAACCUACAAAGACUUUGGAGAUAUUAUUACAUUUGACACCACAUACCUUACGAAUAAAUAUGACAUGCCAUUUGUUCCUUUUAUUAGAGUUAAUCAUCAUAGUCAUUCUAUUUUGUUAGGAUGUAGGUUGAUUUCGCAUGAAGACACGGAGAUCUUUACGUGAUUAUUUGUUUUAAUUUGUUUCUAAACUUAAUGAAUUAGGGAUAAUUAAUUAGUAAUAUUCAAUCUAUAUUUUAAUUUGUUUCUAAACUUAAUGAAUUAGGGAUAAUUAAUUAGUAAUAUUCAAUCUAUAUUUUAAUUUGUUUCUAAACUUAAUGAAUUAGGGAUAAUUAAUUAGUAAUAUUCAAUCUAUAUUUUAAUUUGUUUCUAAACUUAAUGAAUUUGGGAAAAUUAAUUAGUAAUAUUAUGAACUAUUAUAAUUUGUAGCAAUAAUGGACGAAGUUGAUGAAGUGGAGGAAGUGGAGGUUGAUGAAGUGGAGGAAUUGCAAGAUUUAUAGGAGGCUGAUUUUGAAGGAAAUAAUGAAAAAUUGGUGGAAAAAGUUGUUGAGCCUAAGGUUGGGAUGUGUUUUAAUAUUCUGGAUGAAAUGUUUGAAUAUUACAAAGCUUAUGGCUAAGAAGAGGAAUUUCCAGUGAUGCGGAGAUCUUGUAAAAAGGGGGAUGACGGGAAUAUGAGAUAUGUGACAUUUACUUGCGAGUGAAACGACAAGUCAAAAAGCAAAUCCAAUCAUAUUUUGCGGCUUUAACCUAACCAGAAAAUUGGAUGCAAUGCUAAAAUUGGAGGACGUUUGGAUUUUGUUAGUGGAAAAUGGGUAAUUGGAAAUUUGUUCCUUGAACACAACCAUGCCGUAACUCCGAGUAAGAGUAGGUAUUAUCGAUGCAACCAUAGAGUAGGUAUUAUCGAUGCAACCAUAGCAUUAGUCCUUAUGUAAAAAAACAACUUGAAAUAAAUGAAGCGGGAAUUAAAAUGGCUCAAAGUUUCAAGUUUAUUGUUGUUGAGGUGGUGGCUACGAAAGUGUCCCAUUUUUAGAAAAAGAUGCUAGAAAUCAUGUUGAUAAAGCAAGGCGAUUAAGGCUUGGAGAAGGGGAUGCGACUGCGAUUCAGAAAUAUUUUAAGAAAAUGCAAGCAGAAAAUGAUUGAUUUUUCUUCAGUCUUGACUUAGAUGAAGAGGGUCGGUUAAAAAAUAUAUUUUGGGCAAAUCCAAGAAGCUGGGCAACCUACAAAGACUUUGGAGAUAUUAUUACAUUUGACACCACAUACCUUACGAAUAAAUAUGACAUGCCAUUUGUUCCUUUUAUUAGAGUUAAUCAUCAUAGUCAUUCUAUUUUGUUAGGAUGUAGGUUGAUUUCGCAUGAAGACACGGAGAUCUUUACGUGAUUAUUUGACACAUGGCUAUCAUGUAUGUCCGGCUCUCCUCCCCUUGGAAUCAUCACAGACCAAGACAAAGCGAUGAAAAAUGCAAUUAAGAUUAUUUUUCUAAAUACUAAGCAUCGAUUGCGUUUGUGGUAUAUUCUAAAAAAGGUGCCUGAGAAGUUAGGAAAGUAUGCAGAAUAUCAUGCCAUUAGAUUUUUAUUGCAUGUUGUUGUUUAUGAUUCACAUGCUCCUGUUGAAUUUGAAGAAGCUUGGCAUGACAUGUUAGAAAAUAUGAUCUUGGUGAUAAUCAAUGGUUAAAUGGUUUAUAUGAGGAAAGAUAUCGUUGGGUUCCAUGUUUUGUUAAGACUACUUUUUAGGCUAGCAUGUCAACCACUCAACGUUGUGAGAGUAUGAAUGAUUUCUUUGAUGGGUAUGUUAACUCAAAAACAACUUAAAAGUAGUUUGUGGAGAAAUAUAAGAAAGCAAUAAAAAAUAAAAUUGAAAAAGAGUGGCAAGUAGAUGCUAGGUGCUUCAGCCAAUGGAUGCCAUGUCAUACCAAUUUUGCAAUGAAAAAACAAGUUGAGGAAGUAUACAUUAUUUCUAAGUUUUAAGAAUUUCAAUAGGAGCUAAUGGAUAAGAUGUAUUGUGAGGUUUUCAGCUGUGGGGGAUUAGAAUAUGAAGUCGUCGAAAAUGAUGGAAAGAGUAAAGAGAAGACUUUUUAAGUUAUUUUUGAAAAAGAUAAUGGUGAAAUUUGUUGUGCGUGUUCAAUGUUUGAAUUUCGAGGGAUUGUUUGCAGACACGUCAUUGCAGUGUUGAUAUGUAGCUGUAUAACAUUACUUCUUGAGAAAUAUAUCAUACGGAGAUGGAGGAAAGAUGUACGGAGAUGCUAUAGUCGAGUGAAAGUUAGUUAUGAUGUGAGGAGUUCGAGCAUUGUACACCAACGAUAUAAAGAAGAGUGUGCUGCUUUUUAUGAUGUUACUGAUGUAGCUUCAAAAUAUGAAGAAAAUCAUAAAAGUGUUUUGACUUGGAUCGAAAAAGCAAUGAAUGAUGUAUCUCUGAAUGUUCGUUGUGAAAGUGAAGAUACAACUGUUGUUGGUGGGGCGGGAAGUUGUAUGGAAAUCGUACAGGAUUCAGUAGUAUCUUGUCGUAAGGGUCGUGCACCUUCUCAAAGAAAACAAAAGCAAUUUAAAAAGCCAAAACAGAAGCGAGACAAUACUUUAUUGAGUACAACUGUAGAGGUAAAUCUAUCAAAUUCAUUUUUAAUUAAUUCAACACAAAUUAAUGUACUAUAAAUUCAUUUUUAUUUAAUUUAAUAGAAAUUUAAAUGUGUCUUGCUUAUUUUCGGACGUACAUGAUUUAUUUUCUCAAGCCACUACUGCAAUCCCAACACAAGCGAGCAAUAUGGCUAUGGUAAUUUUUUCCUUUUUAAUGUACCUACUGUUAGUGAUGUUUCAUUGUUAUUUAUUUUUUAUGUACCUAUUGUUAGUGUUGUUUCAUUGUUUUUUUUUUUUUAUGAUCAAGUGCCGAAAACUCAUCAAGAGAUAUGUUGUACAAAUUGUAUAUUGUUAAUCUAUAACUCCAAUACUCAUAAUUGCUCCCACCAAGAUACCGGGUAAUCUUAACUACAAGUAUACGUCGUACCCAUUGGUAACUCAAAUGGAAUAACAAUUACAAUCAUGAAAUCAUAACUAACUCAAGAUUAAAAUUACAGUAAAAUCAAUGCUUAUGAGAUUUAAUAAGUCUGAUAGUUAUUACAAAGUUAAUUAAAUCUCAUAUGUGAUCAUGUUCAAUGUAGUCGUACUAUAUUAAUAAAUUCAUACAUGAUUAAGACAAAUCAUUCAAUGAAUUUAUUACAGUCUAAACAUAAAUAGAGCGCCAAACUCUAUUUAUCAACUGCGAACUUAAUUUAUUUAAUCAUAAGAUAACUUGUAUUUAUAUCUUCUGUGAAUCCAUAUAAUGAUCACAUAAAUACAUAUAAUAUGAUUAAACAGACCUUAUUUAAAAUAUUUAUGUAAUUGAAAAUAUCUCAAAUAUUUUAUUAAAAUAUGCUUUAAAGAGCAUAUAAUCACAACAAUCUCCCACUAGCUCUGAAAGCAUAUCUGGCAUAUUGCACAUGCUCUAGGGCUCUAAGUGUAGGUUAUAAAAGUUUCUCACUAAUGGCCAUUAUAAUAAGAUCUACUAUAUAGCAUCUAAUGCCAUUUGGGAUACUGUCAUAUAGUCUUUCUACAUUAUUCCCUUAUAAGAAGAUACUUCCUCUCAACAUGUUUUUGUUCCUUGUAGUUCCUUGGUUCCUUAGAUUGAGUUACCGCACCACCAUUAUCACAAAAUAGUUUAAGGGUUUAGUUACAACAUGUACCACCUCAAGAUCUUAUAGGAACUUGUGGAGCCAUGCAGCUUCUUUUGUAGCUUCAAAUGCAGCCACAUAUUCAGCUUCAGUUGUGGAGUCUGUGAUACAAGAUUAUUUCACACUCUUCCAACUAAUAGCUCAACUUUCUAAUGUAAACACAUAGCCAGAAGUUGAUUUUCUGGAAUCCUUAUCUGACAUAAAGUCAAAAUUCAUAUAACCCACUGGAAUGAGUUCAUCACCAUAAUAUACAAGCAUAUAAUUUUUAGUUCUUUUCAAAUACUUCAUUAUAGGAUUUGAUAUCUGCUAACCAUCCGUAUGACAAAACAGAUGUCUGGUCUAGUGCAAAGCAUGGUAUACAUGAGACUUCCCACAACUUCUGCAUAGGGAACUCGUCUCAUUUUCUCUAUCUCUUUAGAUGUUUUAGGUGACUGAUCCUUAGAGAAUACAAUUUCAUGUCUAAAUGGUAAUAAACCAGUCUUGAAAUUUUCCAUCCUAAAUCUAAGCAAUAUCUUGUCAAUAUAGACCGCUUGAGACAAGGCUAAAAGUUUUACUCUUCCAAUCUCAUAGUAAUUUGAUACCAAAAUAUAACUUGCUUCUCUCAAGUCUUUUAUAUCAAAUUUUUUUGAUAACCAACUCUUUAUCGUAGUCAAUACUCCUAUAUCGUUUCCAAUUAGGAGAAUAUCAUCCAUAUAAAAAACUAGGAAGGUUACAGAUUUUCCCUGAAUUUUCUUAUACACACAUGAAUCAUCAAUAUUCUUAAUGAAUCCAUACGAUUUAAUUGUUUGAUCAAAUCUGAUGUUCCAUGACCGGGAUACUUGCUUCAAUCCAUAAAUCGAUCUUUGCAACUUACAUACCAUGUGUUCUUAGACCUUUUAUAUGGAUCUAUCUGGUUGUUGCAUGUAGAUGUCUUCUUCAAGAUGCCCAUUAAGAAAGGCAGUCUUGACAUCUAUUUGCCAAAUUUCAUAAUUUAGCACUGCAGCAAUGGAGAGCAGAAUCCUAAUGGAUUUAAGCAUAGUAAUCGGAGAAAAGAUUUCCUCACAAUUGAUUCCCUCUUUCUGAGUAUACCCUUUGGCUACUAAUCUUUCUUUAGACGUUUCCAUCCUUCCGUCCCUUUUUUCUCUUGUAGAUUCACUUGCACCUUAUAAGUUUUACCCCAUUUGGUGCCUCUACAUGUUUCCAGACUUUAUUAGAAUACAUAGAUUUCAUUUCUUGAUUAGCUUCGUUGUAACUAGUGGGAUCUUGUACAUGUUCUUCUGAGAUAGUCGUAUAGGUUUCUCCUAAUAACAUGUAUCUCGCAGGUAACCUAGUUACCCUCCCACUACGACGAGGUUAAAAGUGAUUGUUGUUCAGGGAUAAUCCUGUGUUGAUCAGUUGUUGUUGUUGUUCUUCAUGUUCAAUAACAGGUGUUGAAAGUUGAGCAUCAACCUGAUCCUUUUUUUAUUUCUCUAGUUUUACCUUACUCUUAAGGUAUAAGUCAUUUAUAUAGUCUUCCUUAAAGAAAGUAAAGAAUAUGUCCAUAAAUACAUUCCUAUCUUGAGGACUAUAAUUCAAACUUUCCCUUAUUCCUUUAAGAUACCUAAGACAUGCAAGCUUCUGAACACAAAUCCAUCUUCUCUACCUCUGAUUCUAGUACAAAUACUAGUAAACUCCAAAUACGAAUGUGUCUUAAACUAUGUUUGUGACUUUUUCAUAAUUUCUUGGAGUAGUAAACACCGAGGUAGAUGAAACUAAGUUCAAUAAACUUUGCAGUUUUAAAUACUAGUAUCUAGAAUAAAAAAGGUAAAUGAUAAACCACUUAGCAUAUAUCUUUUCUUAUCCAAAAGAAUCUUGUUUCUCCAUUUAAUUACACUAUUGUAUCAUGGUGUUCAUUAUAUGUGGGAGUUUAUCCCAUUUGACAACCAAAUGGAGCUUGAAUUCUCCAGAGAGAUAUUCUUUGUUUCAAUCAUAUCGAAGUUCUUUUAUGCUUCUGCCUAAUUACUUAUGUCUUAUCCAUGUACCCUUUUGAAUUUCAAAAGCAAUGGAAUCAUGAUGCAUUUAGACAAACAUAAAUGAAAUGAAUAUUCAUAAACAAGAUUGAUAGAAUACUAAUAACCUCUUAUAACAUGUAAACUGAUUAGUUCGUAUACAUUUGUAUACGCUAAAUCAUCCAAUACAAUGUUAUACUUUUAGUUCAAAAAGAGCAUCCUCGUCAUAUUACUUUUCUAAAUAAGAUUUAAAGAGUUACAAUGAUCAAUCUUAAUAGGCCAUAAGCCUAUCAUUAAUCAUUUUCUUAAAAUCUUAUUAUAUUUUAUAUGACUUAAGCAUAAAUAUCAAAGGUGAUAUUAGUUACAAGAAACAUUUCUUUUCUUGGAUAAAUGCAUAUACUAUUUAUCAUUAUAUCUUGCUUUGAAUAGAUCAAUGGACUUAUAUGAUAUAAAUUGUCUUUAUAAAUAACCAAAAUAAGUAAUAAAUAGAUGAUCCAAAAAUAACAGUGUAUUCUUAUUUAUUAAAACAAGCCACCGAAAUUAAAUUCCUCUUCCAACCAUUUCAAGGAAAAAAUGCGGAUAUAGUCGAAUGGUAAAAUUUCUCUUUGCCAACGAGAAGACGCGGGUUCGAUUCCUGCUAUCCGCCAAGGUAAAGUAAUGUAGUUAAUAGGAUAAACGACUUCUUAUAGUUGACUGUGAUAAUAUUUGGAAAAGACAAAUAUGAAAACUAAAGUCUCGUAAAAUUGAUCUAGCCUCAACUAAUAUAAACUAGCAUGCCCUCAACUACUAUUUGAAGCUUUCUUCACUUAAUCUCUUGGUUUCUUAAAAACCAAAUAAAUAAAUUACAAAUAAGAUUAGUUAUUUCAGAAUUCACUAUUGCAUUAAUCAAUAGAAAUUUAAACUAAUCAAGAAGCUUAAAGAUUUCCUAUACCUGAUUUUAAUAAUCUUAGGAUAAUCUUUCUUCCAAUGACCCUUCUGUCCACAUUUGUAACACUUGCCUUUUGGCUUUCUACUUCUUUUAGUGGACAAUUUGCCAAUCCCAACUCUUUCUUGUUUAUUCCUGUCUUUCGACUUAAGCCUUGAAGAUAAUCAUUUUUCAGGAAGAUUUUUGCUAUGAUAAAAUUCUUCUAUAGCAUGUAGUUUGUGCAUUAAUUCAAUUAAGGUCAUAUCUUUAUUGUUUAAGAUAUAACUGACCUUAAACUAUUUGAAUGUAUCAGGCAAGGAUUCAAUCACCAUAUUAAUAUUUAUUUUAUCAUCAAUUUGAACACCAUGAAUCUCUACUUUAUUCAAAUAGUCCAUCAUUUUGAGGACAUGAUCACGAACUCUUGUGCCCUCUUCCAUCUUAGUAUCCGUAAUACGUUUUAACGCUACUUCUCUGGCAAAAUGAGUAUUCUGCCCAAACAUCUGAUGAAGACUAGCCAUUAUUUUAGUGGUUGUUUCCGUGCUCCGAUGUUUCUUAUACAAUUCCAUAGAAAUCGAAGCCAAUAUAUAGCUGUUGAGAGUUAGAAAAUGUAUAUUUAUAAAGGAGAAAAUCGUCAUUUUACACUUCAAGUUUUACUAACACCCUUACUUUUAUGUAUUUAAGCUUCUUGUUAUUUAAUUAUGUGUGUAGUAUUAUAAUUAAGUAUUUUAGGGACAUCAUAGUCAUUUCACAAUAAACGAGAGAUUAGAUGACAAAACGGACAUCACUUUUGAACUCAGGACCGUAAAAAACCUUAGGAGGAGCAUAAAAGGAAAAAUGGCAUUGUUCACAUGUACGGUCCUGUCUACGUUACUGUUCACAUAGACGGAUCGAUGACGUGGCAUUGACCGAUGAUGUGGCAUUGACUGAUGAGGUGUCAUGAUCCUGUUGGACUAAAAUUCUUAUGCACUGUUGAUGGGUGAUGUGGCAGUAUGUUAGUGGACCAAAAAUUGCGCGUAUGGUAUAUGCAUAUACACAGGACUAUUUUCAACCAAACCGCAUUACUGUUCAAGCCGGGUUAAACCAUGUCACCGUUCAAACCGCGUGGUCAAACCACGUACUGUUGACUGAUGACGUGGCGCAAUCCUGAACGUCCAAACUGUUUUUAAUCCAAUGGCCAUGAUUUACUCAAUGUAUCUAUAAAAAAUGGGCUCUCCCCCCCUAAUUGGAUAUCUCUGAAUCCAUUUUUGGACUCCAUUUUCUGUAAUUCCUUCUCCAUCUUGUAUUUUCUACGUUUUUUAAUAAAUUUUCAUUUUGCCCCUAGUUCAAUUAUGAGUAGCUAAUUUUCUUUCAAGCUUGGGUUGAAGGUGAAGUCUCAACAUGUGUCAUGGGCUUUAAUUGGUAAAUUUACUUUCUCUUCCCCUCUAGUUUUUGUGGAUGUUUUGACUUCUCGUGUACCGUACAUCCGCCUUGGCCGUACAGCAGAUAAUUUUUUAAAAUUACAAAUUUACCCCAAAGUCUUGUGAAAUAAGCGAAUUGCCCCUCCCGGUCAACGAUGACAGGACUUUAGUCAACGGGGACGAGGAGCUCAGGUUUGAUAGUUCUAACCACGCUGAGCCUACUGGUGGUGGCCGUGAGCUCCCAUGCACGGUGACGAUGGUAGAUCGUGCUCCCAAAGGCGUGAGCUUUCCGGCAGUCGUUCACGGCCAAAAAAGGAAGCUGGUGACGUGAGAAGUAGAACCCAACCAGUGGCGCGGCCAAACUCCAGCGAAAUUGAAGGUGAUGGAGAUAGGCUGAGCCGCGUUUUCUUUCGAGCUAAAUCGUUGGCAUUCUCGCCGUUUUUCGGCGACAAGGAUGGCAGGGGUUUAACCAGCAUCUCACGAGCUUCAAAUCGAUACCUAGCUUAGUCGGAACAGUGGGCGGAAUCGUGAGUUCCAUCCGGGUCACAAACACAGGUCGCGGGUCGCGGGUCGGGUCCAACCCGGUCAACUUCUCUCUUUCUCUUUCUCUCUCCCUCAUCUCUCUAUCCCCAUCUCCAAUUUAUAGAGUGCAUCCUUUUUUUUUAAAGCUUAAUACAGAUUAAACUAAUACUGGACCCGUGACGAAAAUAAAAUUCGACUACAUGACCCCAUAAUCGCGUUCGAUCAUACAAAAUUAAUUCUACAUAUAAUUAAAAUCCACCUCCUCGUGGGAUCGACACUCGUCACCAUUGAUCUAUACUACAAUAGAUUCGUGCACUUGCGAGUUCAAUAAAAUUUGCACAACAAGCUUUUGGCGUCGUUGCAUUUAUGUAUUUAAGCUUCUUGUUAUUUAAUUAUGUGUGUAGUAUUAUAAUUAAGUAUUUUAGGGACAUCAUAGUCAUUUCACAAUAAACGAGAGAUUAGAUGACAAAACGGACAUCACUUUUGAACUCAGGACCGUAAAAAACCUUAGGAGGAGCAUAAAAGGAAAAAUGGCAUUGUUCACAUGUACGGUCCUGUCUACGUUACUGUUCACAUAGACGGAUCGAUGACGUGGCAUUGACCGAUGAUGUGGCAUUGACUGAUGAGGUGUCAUGAUCCUGUUGGACUAAAAUUCUUAUGCACUGUUGAUGGGUGAUGUGGCAGUAUGUUAGUGGACCAAAAAUUGCGCGUAUGGUAUAUGCAUAUACACAGGACUAUUUUCAACCAAACCGCAUUACUGUUCAAGCCGGGUUAAACCAUGUCACCUAGAAUGGACCAGCAGCUCCAGCUCUACCAAUGCAACCAAUUCCUCAAGCCUCUCAGCCACCAUUUAGACCAGACAAUCAGAACCAGAACUACUCUCAACCUAUACCAUGGGAGGAUGCAUUCCAGAAUUUCAAGAAUGUUACUCACUCUACGAUUGAGCAACAGAACCGCACCAUUGAUGGACUACGAAAUGAGAUGAGAGCAAGCUUUAACUCACAAGCCCAAUUAAUUUCAAGCCUCGAGAAAAUGGUAGGACAACUUGCUUCUUCAGUUCAGACCUUGGCAAUUACUGUUGAGAAAUGUAAAUUUUCAAGUCAACUAGUGUCUAAUCCUAAAGGAGUACAUGAAAUAAGUAACAGUUCACCGCAGCAGCAUUGAGAGGUCAAAGCAGUCAUGACCUUGCGAAAAGAAAAAGAAGUCGACAAUAAAGUGGAGAUGCCAGUGACAAAAGAAAAUCAAAUUGCACAUGUGAAUGUUGAGGACUCACCAUCGGAAGAGAAAGAAGAAACCAACCCAUGAGAGUAUGUUCCGAAAGUUCUAUUUCCUCAGAGGUUAGUUAAAGGAAAGAAGGGAAAAUCUACAGGUGAGAUUCUUGAAAUCUUCAAAUAGGUAAGUGUUAAUAUCCCUUUACUUGAUGCUAUAAAACAAGUUCCAUCUUAUGCCAAUUUUCUUAAAGACCUUUGUACUAAAAAGAGAAACAUUCACAUUCAAAAGAAGACAUUUUUAACAAAAAAUGUUAGUUCUAUACUCCAACACAAAAUUCCUUUAAAAAUGCAAAGACCUAGGCUCCCCCACUAUCUCAUGUAGUAUAGGGAACCACACAAUUGAGAAUGCUUUGUUGGAUUUAGGAGCUAGUGUAAAUCUGUUGCCUUAUUCAGUAUUUGUGAAACUUGCACUUGGAGAAUAACACCCAACUCCAGUGGUGUUACAGCUUGUAGAUCGGUCCAUGAAAAUACCUCGUGGUAUUGUGGAGGACGUGCUUAUCCAGGUAGACAAGUUUUAUUUUCCUGUUGAUUUCAUUAUAAUUGACACUCAACCAAUACAGGAUUCAAGAAAGCACAUCCAUAUUAUUCUAGGCCGACCUUUAUUGGCAACUACGGAUGCUCACAUUCAAUGCAGGACUGGAAAUAUGCAAUUGUCCUUCGACAACAUGACUAUGGAGCUGAACAUUUUCAACAUUGCCAAACAACCUCACAAUACAGAUGAUGGAAUUGUUGAUGUGGAUUUAAUAGAAACAUUAGUAGAUAAUACUUUUGUUUCAAACCUUAAUGAUGAUCCUUUACAAACAUUUUUAACUCACUUCGAUUUGGAUUUUGAUAUUGACAGAUCGGUCGAUGAGGUCAACGCCCUACUUGACUCAGCACCAUCCAUGGACACUAAUAAAUGGAAGUCAAGAGUUGAACAACUAGCACCAUCAGAGAAGAAACUCAUCCCAUCAUCAGAAUCACCACCGAAACUCGAGCUCAAACCAUUACCCAACACAUUGGAAUAUGCAUUUUUGGGAGAAGAAAGUACUCUGCCGGUAAUCAUCUCAUCAUCCCUAAAUGACGAACAAAAAGGUAAGUUGUUGGAUGUUUAAAAAGAGCACAAAGGAGCAUUAGGAUGGACCAUAACAAACAUUAAAGGUAUAAACCCAGUAGAUUGCAUGCAUUACAUUCACCUUGAUGAAAAUGCUAAAACUACUAGGGAAAUGCAACGUCGGUUAAAUCCUAACAUGAAAGAAGUUGUUAGAACUGAAGUCCUUAAGCUAUUAGACGCAGGUAUCAUUUACCCAAUUUCUAAUAGUUCAUGGGUCAGUCNNNNNNNNNNNNNNNNNNNNNNNNNNNNNNNNNNNNNNNNNNNNNNNNNNNNNNNNNNNNNNNNNNNNNNNNNNNNNNNNNNNNNNNNNNNNNNNNNNNNNNNNNNNNNNNNNNNNNNNNNNNNNNNNNNNNNNNNNNNNNNNNNNNNNNNNNNNNNNNNNNNNNNNNNNNNNNNNNNNNNNNNNNNNNNNNNNNNNNNNNNNNNNNNNNNNNNNNNNNNNNNNNNNNNNNNNNNNNNNNNNNNNNNNNNNNNNNNNNNNNNNNNNNNNNNNNNNNNNNNNNNNNNNNNNNNNNNNNNNNNNNNNNNNNNNNNNNNNNNNNNNNNNNNNNNNNNNNNNNNNNNNNNNNNNNNNNNNNNNNNNNNNNNNNNNNNNNNNNNNNNNNNNNNNNNNNNNNNNNNNNNNNNNNNNNNNNNNNNNNNNNNNNNNNNNNNNNNNNNNNNNNNNNNNNNNNNNNNNNNNNNNNNNNNNNNNNNNNNNNNNNNCUUUUAUUUGUUUUCUUGUAUUUUUUUCUUAUUAAAAAAGGAAAAAAAAAGUGAAUUUGCAUUUAGAGGUUAGUAUUUUUUUUCUCUUCUUUAAAAUUCUGUAAUUUAAUUUUCAAGUUAUUUUUUUUCUUCCUUGUAAUUUUUGUUUAUCUUACUAAUUUUUUUUAGUUAAUUUAUUUCACGUAUUGUUUUUGUGUAUUUUUAUAGUAAGGUUGUAAUAGCGCGAUAAGGUUAGUAUCGUAAUUUCUCCUUUUUCUUUAUUUUUAUUCGUUUUGUUCCCAUUUAUUUUUUGUUCUUUUCAUGCAUGAUCGUAGGUCAUUAUUACCUAAUCUUGAACCUAUAGACCUUGAACUAGAAAAAACGUUGCGCAAACACAAAACGUUAAAAAUAAAAUAGAUUUGCAACAACAACAAGCACCACAGGAGAGGCCAUUUAAGGACUACUUUAGUCCCUUAGCUAAUUUGAGCACAUCAUGCAUAAGAUACCCAAAUGUAACUGCUAGCAGGUUUUGAACUAAAACCAAGUGUGCUAAAUUGUCUCCCAACAUUCUAUGGCCUAGAAAAUGAGGACCCAUAUAAUCAUUUGAAUGAUUUUCAUGCUGUUUGUCAAAUAUUUAGAUAUAAGAAUUUUUCAGAUGAUGAUGUUAAACUCAGAUUAUCCCCAUUUUCUUUAAAGGAUAGAGCUCGUUCAUGGCUCAAUACUUUGCCUGCUAAUAGCAUUACAUCAUGGGAACAAAUGAUUACAAAAUUUUUGAAUAAAUAUUUCCCAGUGUAUAAAACCAAUGCUAUUCGCAGGAAAAUUUCAGAGUUUACCUAGAGAGAAGACGAGCAAUUUUUCGAAACAUGGGAGCGAUUUAAUGGACUACUCUAGAAGUGUCCACAUAAUGGGUACGUCUAGUGUAAAUCUGUUGCCUUAUUCAGUAUUUGUGAAACUUGCACUUGGAGAAUAACACCCAACUCCAGUGGUGUUACAGCUUGUAGAUCGGUCCAUGAAAAUACCUCGUGGUAUUGUGGAGGACGUGCUUAUCCAGGUAGACAAGUUUUAUUUUCCUGUUGAUUUCAUUAUAAUUGACACUCAACCAAUACAGGAUUCAAGAAAGCACAUCCAUAUUAUUCUAGGCCGACCUUUAUUGGCAACUACGGAUGCUCACAUUCAAUGCAGGACUGGAAAUAUGCAAUUGUCCUUCGACAACAUGACUAUGGAGCUGAACAUUUUCAACAUUGCCAAACAACCUCACAAUACAGAUGAUGGAAUUGUUGAUGUGGAUUUAAUAGAAACAUUAGUAGAUAAUACUUUUGUUUCAAACCUUAAUGAUGAUCCUUUACAAACAUUUUUAACUCACUUCGAUUUGGAUUUUGAUAUUGACAGAUCGGUCGAUGAGGUCAACGCCCUACUUGACUCAGCACCAUCCAUGGACACUAAUAAAUGGAAGUCAAGAGUUGAACAACUAGCACCAUCAGAGAAGAAACUCAUCCCAUCAUCAGAAUCACCACCGAAACUCGAGCUCAAACCAUUACCCAACACAUUGGAAUAUGCAUUUUUAGGAGAAAAAAGUACUCUGCCGGUAAUCAUCUCAUCAUCCCUCAAUGACGAACAUAAAGGUAAGUUGUUGGAUGUUUUAAAAGAGCACAAAGAAGCAUUAUAAUGGACCAUAACAGACAUCAAAGGUAUAAACCCAGUAGACUGCAUACAUUACAUUCACCUUGAUGAAAAUGCUAAAUCUACUAGGGAAAUGCAACGUCGGUUAAAUCCUACUAUUAAAGAAGUUGUUAAAACUAAUUCUAAUAUGAAAGAAGUUGUUAGAACUGAAGUCCUUAAGCUAUUAGAUGCAUGUAUCAUUUACCCUAUUUAUGAUAGUUCAUGGGUCAGUCCUGUACAAGUUGUCCCUAAAAAGUCAGGAGUCACAGUAGUUACCAAUGCUGAUAAUGAAUUAAUACCAAUUAGAGUAACUACAGGAUGGCGUGUAUGCAUUGAUUAUAGAAAAUUGAAUCCAUUUAUCGAUCAAAUGCUUGAUAGAUUAGCAGGCCAUGAAUUUUAUUGCUUUCUAGAUGGCUACUCAGGAUAUAAUCAGAUUCUUAUAGCACCAAAAGAUCAAGAGAAAACCACUUUCACUUGCCCUUUUGGCACUUUUGCAUAUAGGAGGAUACCAUUUGGAUUAUGUAAUGCACCUGCUAUAUUUCAACGACGCAUGUUAAACAUUUUUUUUUUAUAUGGUUGAACGAUUCCUUGAAGUCUUUAUGGAUGAUUUUUCUGUCUUUGGUGACUCGUUUGAUCAAUGUUUACAUCAUCUAACACUAGUUCUGCAGAGAUGUAUCAAGAAGAACUUAGUCUUAAAUUGGGAGAAGUGUCAUUUUAUGGUAAAAUAAGGUAUUGUUCUCAGUCACAUUAUUUCGAGCAAAGGUAUUGAGGUUGACAAAGCCAAGGUGUAUCUCAUUUCUAAUCUUCCUCCACCUAAAACAGUCAGAGAAGUAAGAUCUUUCCUUGGGCAUGCUGGUUUUUAUCGACGUUUCAUUAAAGAUUUUAGCAAAGUUUCUAGACCUUUAUGCAAUCUACUUGCUAAGGAUGUACCUUUUAUCUUUAAUGAUUCAUGUCUUGUGGCGUUUGAAAAAUUAAAGCAGUUGUUAACAACAUCACCCAUCAUUUAGUCCCCAAACUGGAGCUUACCAUUUAAAGUCAUGUGUGAUGCAUCUGAUUAUGAAGUAGGAGCAAUGUUAGGACAAAGAGUUGAUCGAAUUCCCCAUGUUAUUUACUAUGCUAGUAUGACAUUGAAUUAUGCACAAUUGAACUAUUCAACUAUUGAAAAAGAAAUGCUAGCAGUAGUGUUUGCAUUGAAAAAUUUUCGAUCUUAUCUCAUUGGUUGUAAAAUAAUUGUGUUCACGGAUCAUGCUGCUCUUAAAUAUCUUCUCACAAAGAAAGAUGGAAAAGCUAGACUAAUUCGUUAGGUGUUACUUUUGCAGGAGUUCGACUUAGAAUUUAAAGAUAAGAAAGUUACAGAGAAUGUUGUAGCUGACCAUCUCUCUCGUCUCCAUUUUGACACAAUUAUGGAAUCAAUACCAUUGAAUGAGUCAUUCCCAGAUGAACAAUUGAUGAGUGUGGAAGUAUUACCGUGGUAUGCUGAUAUCGUUAAUUAUCUUGCUACAGGUCAAUUUCCAAAGCAUUGGACCAAGCAAGACAAAGCUAAAUUUUUUGCAGAAAUAAAAAAUUUCUUUUGGGAUGACCCGUAUUUUUUCAAGUAUUGUGCAGAUCAAAUUGUUAGACGAUGUGUCCCAGAAAGUGAAAUUCAAAAUAUCCUUUCAUUCUGCCAUGAACAAGCUUGUGGAAGCCAUUUCAGCGCUAAGAAAACAACGACUAAAGUUUUACAAUGUGGUUUCUAUUGGCCAACUAUAUUUCAAGACGCUUACACUUUCUGAUCUUUAUGUGAUAGGUCUCAACGAAUAGGGAGCAUUACACGAAGGAACAUGAUGCCAUUAAAUCCAAUUUUAGUAGUUAAGAUUUUUUAUGUGUGGGGUAUCGACUUCAUGGGUCCCUUUCCCCCUUCUUUUGGCCAUCAAUACAUAUUGGUUGCUGUUGACUACGUAUCGAAAUGGGUAGAAGCAAUUCCAUGUAAAACCAAUGAUCAUAAUGUGGUGAUAGGAUUUUUGAAAAGCAACAUUGUUUCAUGCUUUGGAUUCCCUCGAGCGAUAAUCAGUGAUGGUGGUGCCCACUUUUGUAACAAAGCAUUCAAAACUCUUUUGACAAAGUAUUCAAUCACUUAUAAAGUGGUGACCCUAUAUCAUCCGCAAACCAGUGGCCAAAUUGAAAUCUCCAAUCGAGAAAUAAAGUACAUAUUAGAAAAGACGGUGAGGCCAGACAGAAAAGAUUAGUCAUUAAGACUUGAUGAUGCAUUAUGGGCAUAUAGAACAGCUUUCAAGACCCUGAUUGGGAUGUCACCCUACAGGCUGGUGUAUGGAAAAGCUUGUCACCUACCUGUGGAACUUGAGCAUCAUGCAUAUAGGGCCAUCAAGAAAUUCAACUUUGACAUGCAGCAAGCUAGCUCAGAAAGAAGAUUACAACUGGCAGAACUUGAAGAAAUUCGCAAUGAUGCAUACGAAAAUGCCAAGAUUUACAAGCAGCAGAUGAAAAUCUUUGAUGACAAGCAAAUUAUGAGAAAAUCAUUCACUCCAGGUCAAAAAGUACUUUUAUUCAAUUCUCGUUUGCACCUAUUCCCAGGUAAGUUACGCUCUCGAUGGUCUAACCCCUUUAUUGUUUAUACUGUUUUUCUACAUUGGGCAAUUGAAAUUAAGGACCCAAAGAACGGUGUCACGUUUAAAGUUAAUGGUCAAAGAUUUAAGCCAUAGCUAGAGUACCAGCUACAUGGAGAGGACAUCGAAAUCAAUUUGAGUGACCCACCAGAGUUGAAUUGAAUUUUUUUUCUUUUCGGUGAUUUGAUUUUUUAUUCUUUCUUUUUAUUAUUCUUUUGCUAAUUGAAAUUAUUUUUGCAUAAGUGUGUUUGUUUAACCAUUAAGUUUUCUCUUAUCAUUGUUAAUCAUGAGUACCAUAGCUAAACAGUUCCUUCUGAACAUUCUUAAACCGUUUCAAUGUGUAAAAUCUCAUCUCAAAAGGCAGAUUCGAUUUGUAAAACACAUCGUAUUUGGGCUCUGUAACCACCAGAGUUAGUAUCCUAUGUUAAAGAUUUAGAAAGCCAACUCAGAGAAAUUGAGAGAAGUGUCUACAACAUCCAGUUGGAGAUUGAGGUAAAUUCAAUAAGAGGACGAUUUUAAUUUUCUUUGUGCGUUUUAAUUUGUUUUUCUGUUUGUGUGCUUUAGUUUGUUACCCCGGUGAAGUGGCGGAUAACGGUACUCCGUGACAAUCAAGUCGGUUACUUCAGUUUUCCAUAAUAACUGAUAUUAUGAGGCGAAGGUAUAGACCGAAACAAGAUUCUAGCGAAACUUCACAAGCGAUUCCCUUCACUUCCUCAGAAUGCCCUCCUUACGAUCUAUAAAGCCCGGUCCGAACGCAUGCGAUUACUCAUGAGGAAUAACAUACCUGCUGACAUCCGUUGGUUAAUCGAGGCUAAAGUACGAUCGGCAGGUGAGUUACCUCCAAAAUUUAUUGCAUACAUGCCUGGUUGUGGUAAAGGAAAUUAUGCAAGAAAAUGAAGAGCUCGAAGAAUUUCUGUUGCUUGUCAUAAAUGUGCUAGAAUGAGAUGCAAUAAAAAUCCAUAUUCUUUAAGAAUGAUGUCUAAUAACAGGGAAGAUAAGAUUCAAUUCAUUAGGGAUGGCUUGAAUAAGGAGUCAUUGGAUGAUAUUCUUUUGUCUCUUGAAACGCAUCCCAGUGGAUAUGUGCAAGGAGCGAUUCUCCAGUUAUGACCAUUAUUCCAGAAAGAGCAUGCACGAUAUAGUCUCGGGAAUCUGACUAUAAACGACCCUCUUUGCCAAUUUAUAAGAAAACUGGAUGGGAAGCCUAUCCUCGACCCAUAGAGGGCGUUCAAACCGUUUCUGGACGUAAAACCAGAGGAAGAUGUGAGCCACAAUCGCAACUACCUGUAAAUAUCCUUUUACUUUACUGUUAUUUUAUUUCACUGUUAUUUUAUCUUUUCCAUUAUUGUCUUUAAUAAUUUUAUUUUAUCAUGGUUUCUUUUUCCUUUUUACUAUUUCCUUUUUGACUCCUGAUCCAUGUGCUUUACACGUUAUUUGACACUGACAUGCCGCCUCAUACACAGUUUUGACCCACUGUCACCAAGAUUCUUAAAUAUGACUUUUUGUUAAGCACUCACAAAUUGUUUUUGAGAAAUAUUCCAAUGGCAGCUACUCCCAAUAGACAAUUCAAGAACAUUUGUGUGCUUUCUGGAUUUAACUAUGGCAAACAUAAAGAGUUCGUUGAGGCAGCCAUAGAUCUUGGUUGAAGCAUAGCAGAGAGAAAACUACACUUGGUGUAUAGAGGAGGUAACUGAGGGUUAUCAAAAUUGGUCUCAAAAGCUGCUUUUGUCAAAGGAAGCCAAGUGUUAGGCAUCAUCCCAAGAGCCCUAAAAUCUUUGGGCAGUUUAUCUGACCCACCGACUAGAGAAGAGUUAGUCGUCUCAGAUAUGCAAGAAAGAAUAACUGAAAUGCUUAAUCAUGCUGAUGCUUUUAUUUUCCUUCUACGAGAUCUUGCAACACUAAAGACACUUAUCACACUAGUGUCUUGGGCCCAUCUGCACAUUCACCAUAAACCCAUCGAUUUGUUAAAUGUCAAUAACUUUUAUGAUGGCUUCCUCGCAUUUCUUAACCAUUCAAUAAAAAAACUAUUUCAUUCCUUCCAAUACGAAAAAGCUUUUUAUUUGUGCUCACACUGCGAAUGAGCUACUUGAUCUGUUACAAGCUUAUAAACCGGAGCCAGACCCCUGGACCUUUGUGUUGGAGCGUCCUAAUAAUGACGGUAACAGUAGCCGUAGUAAGAAGUACAAAUUAAAUUUAACUCUCCGCCUGUAAAUAUUUUCUUCUGUGCUGUACUACCCAGGUGAUGUCUUCUAAACUCUACUUCUUUCCUUUAAAACAUUAAGGAUAAUGUUUCGUUCUAGUUGGGGGGGAGGGAAUAGUCGACAAUUGUGGAAUCUUGGUUAAGUUUUUACUAAUUUUUUGUUGUAGAAACUAAUUGUUGCUAACUUUUUGUGUUGAAGAUGGCUGAAUAUGGAGUGUAGUUACUCUAGAAACGCAUCUCCUUCGUAAAAAAAAACAAAAAAAAUUUCCAGAUAUUUUCAAAAAAAAAAAAUUUGUGUUAUUUGUUUUAACAUUGGAUGACAUGAUUAAUUUCAAAUUUUAGUAUUUGUAUUAUCUUUGGUCUUAAGUGAUGUUACGCUAUGUUUGCUACUUUACAUGUUGAUGUCGGAGACAAAUAUGAGUUGCUUGAAGGAAUGAACAUGUCAUAAUAAGUACCAAGUGAGUUUUUGAGCCUAUCAUUUUUCUCGGAGAGUAACCAUUUUGCCCAUUCUUUAUACAUCUUAGUUGUUUAUUAUUUUAUACAUGAUCUCUAGAUUUCUUUUAAGUUAACCUUUAAAAAAAAGUUGUUGUAAAAUUUAAAAAAAAAGAGAAAAAAAUAAAAAAAAUGUAUGUUGCUACAUCUAGAGACCCAUCUAACUAGUAGAUAUGGAAGAUUCUUUAGAGCCCUAAAAAAUGAUGGAAAGGCCAUCUUUGAUUCGUUUGAGUCUUUCUAGCCAUCCCUUUUAUGAAAUAUCCAUAAUUAACCCUUUUGAGCCUUAAAACAAAAAAAAACCUUUUCCUUGUCGACUUAUCAUCUUGACCCACUCCGAUUUGGAGUAUUACCCGAUGUCUUAUAAGUUCCAUCACCUAUUUAUGUUUGAGAAAAAUGUAAAUAAUUAUUUUGUUCAGUGAGGUUGUGCCAAACAAAAGCAAAAAAAUAAAAAAUAAAAAUUGUUGUGAAAAAAUAAUACUGCUGUACCGUACAUCCGCCUUGGCCGUACAGCAGAGUUAGUCGUCUCAGGUAUGCAAGAAAGAAUAACUUAAAUGCUUAAUCAUGCUGAUGCUUUUAUUUUUCUUCCAGGAGAUCUUGCAACACUAGAGGCACUUAUGACACUAGCAUCUUGGGCCCAUCUACACAUUCACCAGAAACCCAUCGGUUUGUUAAAUGUCAAUAACUUUUAUGAUGGCUUUAUCGCAUUUCUUAACCAUGCAAUAAAAAACUACUUCAUUCC
rnacentral:lncRNA from 1 species